rnacentral:lncRNA from 1 species
AAUAUUUUUUUUUUAUUUUUAAAAAUCUAUAUUUUUAUUUUUUUAAUUUUAAAAAUAUUUUUAGGGGUAUAACGUUAAUAGAGAGGGCAAAAUAACUAAAUUAUUCUUACUUUUUCUAUAAAAAAAUAAUUUUUAUUAUAUUUCUGUUAUUUUAAAAAGUAUUUUUAGUAUAAAUUAUUAAAAAUUGACGGAAUAGUGAUGGAACCCUAACGAAGGAGAACUAAAUGCAACAACUUGAAAUCUUGAGGAGAUAAAAUAUAGGUUUUUGAAAGUUUAGGAGGAAAAAAAAAAAAAAAAGGUAUUUAUAAAAAGGUUUUAUGUAAUUUAGCCCUUUUAAAUAAAAACUUCAAAUAUCCCCAUGUGGUUUAGCGUCUUCUCACUUUAGUACUUUGUGAUUUAAAGUAUACUUUUUUAGUACCCUGCGAUUUUAUUUUUCUCUUUCCAUCAACGCUUUAGUUAACUCCCCGUUAAAAUAUAUAAAAAAAAACUUCAAACACCCCCUUAUAGUUUAUCGAAUAUUCACUUUAAUAUUCUGUGGUUUACAAAAUUUUUACUUUACUAUCUUGUGGUUUUAACUUUCUCACUAACUUAAUAGAAAAAUUAAUGGAGGGGAUAACGGAAAGAGAAAAACUAAACCACACGGUACUAAUGAUAAAGUUUAGAACAUAAGAUACUAAAGUGAAAAAGCGCCGAACCACAAGGUGGUUUUUGAAGUUUUUUUUUUUUUUUAAUGAUAGAACUUUCAAAUCGACAAUCGACUCUGUUAAACUGAACAUACAGUAUUUAUAGUAUCUAAAAGUUAAUUUUAUAAUUUUUUAAUAUUAUUUAUCGAGUGAAAGAAAGGGCUCAAAAUUAACGAAUAAAGUAAAAAAUCUUAUAAAAAAUAAUGAUACAAUACUAAAGUUUUAGUUAAGUUAUAUUAAUCUUGUUUUAAAUAGUAUAAAUAAUUUUCUACCAAAAUUAUAUCUGAUUUCAAUAUUUUUAUACUGUUAAAUUUUAAGCGACUUAUAUCCACCAUUAAAAUUAUUAAUUUUGAGUCUCCUUAACUAUCAGGUAAAUGUUAUUAAAAAAUUAUAAAACUUAUUUUAAGAUGCUUCAAAUAUUCUAAAUUAAAUCCACCAUAGCCAAUCACCGAUUCAGAAUUCAUGUCAUCAAAAAUAAUUUGCAAACACGAAAGCUAUUAUGCCCCUGGAAUUAAG